GAUGAACGCUAGCGAUAGGCUUAACACAUGCAAGUCGAGGGGCAGCACGUAUUCAGCUUGCUGAAUAUGGUGGCGACCGGCGGAUGGGUGCGUAACGCGUAUGCAACUUACCUGUCAGAGGGGGAUAACCCGGAGAAAUUCGGACUAAUACCGCAUACACUUGAGAUACUGCAUGGUAUUUCAAGGAAAUAUUUAUAGCUGACAGAUAGGCAUGCGUUCCAUUAGCUGGUAGGUGAGGUAACGGCUCACCUAGGCGACGAUGGAUAGGGGAACUGAGAGGUUAAACCCCCACACUGGUACUGAGACACGGACCAGACUCCUACGGGAGGCAGCAGUGAGGAAUAUUGGUCAAUGGGCGAGAGCCUGAACCAGCCAAUUCGCGUGAAGGAUGACUGCCCUAUGGGUUGUAAACUUCUUUAGUAGGGGAUUAAAGUUUGCCUUGCGAGGCAAUUUUGCAAGUACCCUAAGAAUAAGUAUUGGCUAACUCCGUGCCAGCAGCCGCGGUAAUACCGAGGAUACGAGCGUUAUCCGGAUUUAUUGGGUUAAGGGUGCGUAGGUUGCUUUUUAAGUCAGUGGUGAAAAGCUGUGGCUCUACCAUAGUCUUGCCGUUGAAACUGAGGAGCUUGAGUGUAGAUGCUGUAGGCGGAACGCGUAGUGUAGCGGUGAAAUGCAUAGAUAUUACGCAGAACUCCGAUUGCGAAGGCAGCUUACAAAGUUACAACUGACACUGAAGCACGAGAGCGUGGGUAUCAAACAGGAUUAGAUACCCUGGUAGUCCACGCCGUAAACGAUGAUUACUAAGAGUAUGCGAUAUAAUGUAUGUUCUACAGCGAAAGCGUUAAGUAAUCCACCUGGGGAGUACGUCGGCAACGAUGAAACUCAAAGGAAUUGACGGGGGCCCGCACAAGCGGAGGAACAUGUGGUUUAAUUCGAUGAUACGCGAGGAACCUUACCCGGGAUUGAAAUGUGCAUGACGUAGACCGGAGACGGUUUAUACCCUUCGGGGCAUGUAUGUAGGUGCUGCAUGGUUGUCGUCAGCUCGUGCCGUGAGGUGUCGGCUUAAGUGCCAUAACGAGCGCAACCCACAUUGUCAGUUACUAACAGGUAGAGCUGAGGACUCUGGCGAGACUGUCGGCGUAAGCCGUGAGGAAGGUGUGGAUGACGUCAAAUCAGCACGGCCCUUACAUCCGGGGCGACACACGUGUUACAAUGGUGAGGACAAAGGGCAGCUACCUGGCGACAGGGUGCGAAUCUCCAAACCUCAUCUCAGUUCGGAUCGGAGUCUGCAACUCGACUCUGUGAAGCUGGAUUCGCUAGUAAUCGCGCAUCAGCCAUGGCGCGGUGAAUACGUUCCCGGGCCU
rnacentral:rRNA from 1 species